UUAAAAACAUAACUAAUCUGAUUUAUUUUAAUAAGAGAUAAUUUGAAUAUCAAAUAAAUCAGUUUAUUCUAUUUUUAUCUAACCACCCUUUUUAUUCACUCUCUCACUCACGCCUCUCACACUCACGGUUUCACACACGCACGUUCCGUCCCUUUUCAUCUGUGUGGGUUCUUCUCCCACAAGAGUUGUGACUUUGAGUCCCUUCUUUGUUAGUUUUAACGUCCCUUCAUCCCUUUCAUUCAAGCUUCAAAGAUGUCAGGAAAAAGGAAGCAGAAAGCAAGCUCAAGUGGAAACUGGUUCCGUUCAGAUAAGAAGAACGAGGCUUAUAUUAGCUUGGUUAUGGUCGUGAAGAUAACGACGACGACUCAUUCUUGGGAGUUGAUACUACGUGACGAGCCACUACCGGAUGACGACUACACUCCUGAAGAAGAGGAAGAAGAUAAAGAGGAAGGGGCCAAGGAUAUGGUUGGGUUGAGAGACAUCAAUUUUCUUUUGGGUUAAGAGUACCGAGUUUUGGAAUCAUUUAACCAUUUCUUUAUUUCAGUUGGGAUAGUUUAACUUGAUGUAAUUUACUUUGAAGUUUUUCAUACUCUUUUCAAUGAUUAAUAAAGGUUGAGGUUUACGUUGAUGAUUA